rnacentral:rRNA from 1 species
AACGAACGCUGGCGGCGCGCCUAACACAUGCAAGUCGAGCGAGAAGACGUAGCAAUACGUUUGUAAAGCGGCGAACGGGUGAGGAAUACAUGGGUAACCUACCCUCGAGUGGGGAAUAACUAGCCGAAAGGUUAGCUAAUACCGCGUACGCUCCUUGGACUUCGGUUCAGGGAGGAAAGCGAUACCGUGGGUAUCGCGCUCUUGGAUGGGCUCAUGUCCUAUCAGCUUGUUGGUGAGGUAACGGCUCACCAAGGCUUCGACGGGUAGCUGGUCUGAGAGGACGAUCAGCCACACUGGCACUGCGACACGGGCCAGACUCCUACGGGAGGCAGCAGUAAGGAAUAUUGCGCAAUGGGCGAAAGCCUGACGCAGCGACGCCGCGUGGGGGA